UAAUGCUUGGGAAUCUAGCUUAUGGAGGGGGAUAACUACGGGAAACUGUAGCUAAUACCGCGUAGUAUCGGAAGAUGAAAGUGUGGGACCUUCGGGCCACAUGCCAUAGGAUGAGCCCAAGUGGGAUUAGGUAGUUGGUGAGGUAAAGGCUCACCAAGCCGACGAUCUCUAGCUGGUCUGAGAGGAUGACCAGCCACACUGGGACUGAGACACGGCCCAG
rnacentral:rRNA from 1 species